rnacentral:sRNA from 1 species
CAGAGCCAGCCAGCAGCAAAAAGAGCAUGGAGCUGAGGAGUACAGCAGCCCCCAGAGCUGAGGGCUACAGCAACACAGGCUUCCAGAAUGAAGAAAACUUUCUUGAGAACGAGAACACAUCAGGAAACAACAACUCAAUAACGAGCAGAGCUGUGCAAAGCAGGGAGCACGCAAACACCAAACAGAGAAUCAAAGGCCACAUUGGAUAUGACAGAAGACAAGUGCUGAGAUUUGACAUUAUACUUCUUAGAGCACACUCAAACUGCUCCACCUCCAUCUAUUUCCUUCCCCACCAGCUUCUGUACCAUUGGUUACAAGAGCCAGGCUUAUUAUUUGAGACAGGAUGAAGAACAGGUCACAGUUGACCAGGAUUCUCCAAGAAACAAAGAAGGCACGGAGGAUGAUGAGGAGGAGAUGCAACAAAAAGGGUGUUUGGAAAGGAGAUAUGACACGGUAUGUGGUUUCUGUAGGAAACACAAAACCAUUCUUUGGCACAUC